rnacentral:rRNA from 1 species
CAAAAGCCCAUAGAGUUUGAUCCUGGCUCAGGAUGAACGCUAGCUACAGGCUUAACACAUGCAAGUCGAGGGGAAACGACAUCGAAAGCUUGCUUUUGAUGGGCGUCGACCGGCGCACGGGUGAGUAACGCGUAUCCAACCUGCCCACCACUUGGGGAUAACCUUGCGAAAGUAAGACUAAUACCCAAUGAUAUCUCUAGAAGGCAUCAGAAAGAGAUUAAAGAUUUAUCGGUGAUGGAUGGGGAUGCGUCUGAUUAGCUUGUUGGCGGGGUAACGGCCCACCAAGGCGACGAUCAGUAGGGGUUCUGAGAGGAAGGUCCCCCACAUUGGAACUGAGACACGGUCCAAACUCCUACGGGAGGCAGCAGUGAGGAAUAUUGGUCAAUGGACGAGAGUCUGAACCAGCCAAGUAGCGUGCAGGAUGACGGCCCUAUGGGUUGUAAACUGCUUUUAUAAGGGAAUAAAGUGAGUCUCGUGAGACUUUUUGCAUGUACCUUAUGAAUAAGGACCGGCUAAUUCCGUGCCAGCAGCCGCGGUAAUACGGAAGGUCCGGGCGUUAUCCGGAUUUAUUGGGUUUAAAGGGAGCGUAGGCCGGAGAUUAAGCGUGUUGUGAAAUGUAGAUGCUCAACAUCUGCACUGCAGCGCGAACUGGUUUCCUUGAGUACGCACAAAGUGGGCGGAAUUCGUGGUGUAGCGGUGAAAUGCUUAGAUAUCACGAAGAACUCCGAUUGCGAAGGCAGCUCACUGGAGCGCAACUGACGCUGAAGCUCGAAAGUGCGGGUAUCGAACAGGAUUAGAUACCCUGGUAGUCCGCACGGUAAACGAUGGAUGCCCGCUGUUGGUCUGAAUAGGUCAGCGGCCAAGCGAAAGCAUUAAGCAUCCCACCUGGGGAGUACGCCGGCAACGGUGAAACUCUAAGGUAAUAGACGG